CUGGCUUCAGCUGCACACACACUAAGAUCAGAUGAAGCCGGGAAGUCAAGCGUGGCCCUGCGCAGGGACAACAUGCAAACUCAUGAAG
rnacentral:snRNA from 1 species